GUGCCCUGUCGUGCAUUUAGGAUAGACAGGCUAAAUUGCUCCGAAGGCAGAGGCCACAGGUUCGAAUCCUGUCGGGUGCGCCA
rnacentral:tRNA from 1 species